AACGAACGCUGGCGGCAGGCCUAACACAUGCAAGUCGAGCGCGCCCUUCGGGGUGAGCGGCGGACGGGUGAGUAACGCGUGGGAACGUGCCCUUUUCUACGGAAUAGCCUCGGGAAACUGAGAGUAAUACCGUAUACGCCCUUUGGGGGAAAGAUUUAUCGGAAAAGGAUCGGCCCGCGUUGGAUUAGGUAGUUGGUGGGGUAACGGCCUACCAAGCCGACGAUCCAUAGCUGGUUUGAGAGGAUGAUCAGCCACACUGGGACUGAGACACGGCCCAGACUCCUACGGGAGGCAGCAGUGGGGAAUCUUAGACAAUGGGGGCAACCCUGAUCUAGCCAUGCCGCGUGAGUGAUGAAGGCCUUAGGGUUGUAAAGCUCUUUCAGCUGGGAAGAUAAUGACGGUACCAGCAGAAGAAGCCCCGGCUAACUCCGUG
rnacentral:rRNA from 1 species